rnacentral:rRNA from 1 species
GUGGGGAAUAUUGCGCAAUGGGGGAAACCCUGACGCAGCGACGCCGUGUGAGGGAAGAAGGCUUUCGGGUCGUAAACCUCUGUCAGAAAUGAAGAACCUCCCAAGUCCGAAUAGGGCUUGGGACUGACGGUACUUUCAAAGGAAGCACCGGCUAACUCCGUGCCAGCAGCCGCGGUAAUACGGAGGGUGCAAGCGUUAAUCGGAAUCACUGGGCGUAAAGCGCGCGUAGGCCGCUGUGUAAGUCGGACGUGAAAGCCGUCGGCUCAACCGGGGAACUGCGUUAGAUGCUGCGAGGCUUGAGUCCUGGAGAGGGUGGCGGAAUUCCGGGUGUAGGAGUGAAAUCCGUAGAUAUCCGGAGGAACACCGGUGGCGAAGGCGGCCACCUGGACAGGUACUGACGCUGAGGCGCGAAAGCGUGGGGAGCAAACAGGAUUAGAUACCCCUGUAGUCC